rnacentral:rRNA from 1 species
GAUGAACGCUAGCGGCAGGCUUAAUACAUGCAAGUUGAGGGGCAGCAUGAUAUACGCGAGUAUAUUGAUGGCGACCGGCGAACGGGUGAGUAAUAGGUAGGAGACCUACCUCAUACAGGGGGAUAGCAUAGAGAAAUCUGUGGUAAUACCCCAUGAGGUUAUAUGAAUAGAGGCAUAUAAUCAAAGCAUAAGCGAUUAUGCGGUAUGAGAGGGGCCUACUGACCAUUAGCUAGUUGGUGAGGUAAGGGCUCACCAAGGCGAAGAUGGUUAGGGGUUUUGAGAGAGAGACCCCCCACAUUGGAACUGAGAGACGGUCCAGACUCCUACGGGAGGCAGCAGUAGGGAAUAUUGGGCAAUGGGCGAAAGCCUGACCCAGCCAUGCCGCGUGAAGGAAGACGGCCUUAUGGGUUGUAAACUUCUUUACUACGCGAAUAGAGGUUAGUACGAGAUACUAAUAGGAAGGUAGUGUAGUAAAAAGCACCGGCUAACUCCGUGCC